GAUGAACGCUGGCGGCGUGCCUAAUACAUGCAAGUAGAACGCUGAAGGAGGUGCUUGCUCUUCUGGAUGAGUUGCGAACGGGUGAGUAACGCGUAGGUAACCUGCCUGGUAGCGGGGGAUAACUAUUGGAAACGAUAGCUAAUACCGCAUGACAACAGUUAUUGCAUGAUAACUGUUUAAAAGGGGCAACUGCUCCACUACCAGAUGGACCUGCGUUGUAUUAGCUAGUUGGUGAGGUAACGGCUCACCAAGGCGACGAUACAUAGCCGACCUGAGAGGGUGAUCGGCCACACUGGGACUGAGACACGGCCCAGACUCCUACGGGAGGCAGCAGUAGGGAAUCUUCGGCAAUGGACGGAAGUCUGACCGAGCAACGCCGCGUGAGUGAAGAAGGUUUUCGGAUCGUAAAGCUCUGUUGUAAGAGAAGAACGAGUGUGAGAGUGGAAAGUUCACACUGUGACGGUAUCUUACCAGAAAGGGACGGCUAACUACGUG
rnacentral:rRNA from 1 species